rnacentral:rRNA from 1 species
UACAGAGGUCUCAACCGUUGUUCGGAUUCAUUGGGCGUAAAGGGUGCGUAGGCGGCGGGGCAAGUCAGGUGUGAAAUCUCGGGGCUCAACCCCGAAACUGCACUUGAUACUGCCUUGCUCGAGUACUGGAGAGGAGACUGGAAUUUACGGUGUAGCAGUGAAAUGCGUAGAUAUGCGGAGGAACACCGAUGGCGAAGGCAAUCCCCUGGGCCUGCACUGACGCUCAUGCACGAAAGCGUGGGGAGCGAACAGG